UUUGCGCAGCAUAGGUGGGAGGCAUUGAGUUUAUUCUUGCGGGAAUUUAGGAGCCAUCAGUGAGAUACCACUCUGGUAAUGUUAGAUUUCUAACUUUGUAUCAUGAUCUGGUCAAAGAACAGUUUCAGGCGGGCAGUUUGACUGGGGCGGUCGCCUCCCAAAUGGUAACGGAGGCGUACAAAGGUUUCCUCUGAACGUGUAGAAAUCGUAUCUAGAGUGUAAAGGCAUAAGGAAGCUUGACUGUGAGACCUACAAGUCGAGCAGGGACGAAAGUCGGUCUUAGUGAUCUGACGGUGCUGAGUGGAAAGGCCGUCACUCAACGGAUAAAAGUUACUCUAGGGAUAACAGGCUGAA
rnacentral:rRNA from 1 species